rnacentral:rRNA from 1 species
UACAUAGGGUGCAAGCGUUGUCCGGAAUUAUUGGGCGUAAAGAGCUCGUAGGUGGUUCGUCACGUCGGAUGUGAAACUCUGGGGCUUAACCCCAGACCUGCAUUCGAUACGGGCGAGCUUGAGUAUGGUAGGGGAGUCUGGAAUUCCUGGUGUAGCGGUGGAAUGCGCAGAUAUCAGGAGGAACACCAAUGGCGAAGGCAGGACUCUGGGCCAUUACUGACACUGAGGAGCGAAAGCGUGGGGAGCAAACAGG